rnacentral:rRNA from 1 species
GACAGAGGUGCCGAGCGUUAGGCGGAAUCACUGGGCUUAAAGCGUGUGUAGGCGGGCGGGCAAGUACCUGGUGAAAUCCCACGGCUCAACCGUGGAACUGCUGGGUAUACUGCCUGUCUUGAGCCAGCCAGGGGCAGUCGGAACAGACGGUGGAGCGGUGAAAUGCGUAGAUAUCGUCUGGAACGCCAAAGGUGAAAACAGACUGCUGGGGCUGUGCUGACGCUGAGACACGAAAGCCAGGGGAGCGAACGGGG